AUUGAACGCUGGCGGCAUGCCUAACACAUGCAAGUCGAACGGGGUAGCAAUACCCAGUGGCGGACGGGUGAGGAAUACAUAGGAAUUUGCCUUUAGGUGGGGGAUAGCCCGGGGAAACUCGGAGUAAUACCGCAUGAUGUCGAAAGACCAAAGUAGGGGAUCGCAAGACCUUGCGCCUUUAGAGAAGCCUAUGUCUGAUUAGCUAGUUGGUAGGGUAAUGGCCUACCAAGGCGACGAUCAGUAACUGGUCUGAGAGGACGAUCAGUCACACCGGAACUGAGACACGGUCCGGACUCCUACGGGAGGCAGCAGUGGGGAAUAUUGGACAAUGGGCGAAAGCCUGAUCCAGCAAUGCCGCGUGUGUGAAGAA
rnacentral:rRNA from 1 species